CAAAAAUCAAUGUUCUGGGAGAACGGGAAGCAGCUCCAUUUUUUGGGGGUCCUUACACAGCUCAAGGUCUGGGUCCCAGGGUCCACCUUCAUGUUCCACCGAUGAGUUUGUUCACAGGGGGUGGAGUGUGUAGGGGAUGUCCUGAUAUGUGUGUAAGGAAUGCAUUGCGUGAAAUUGUGUUUGUAUGUGUAAGGACUGCAAGGUGUGUUUCUGUGUAUGUAUGGGAUGCAUUGAAUGUGUGUAAGGGGUGCAUUGAGUGUGUGUAAUGAAUGCAUUGUGUGUUUCUGUGUGUGUAAGGGAUGCAUUGUGUAUAACGGUUGUAUUGCUUGUGUAUGUGUGUCUGUGUGUAAUGCAUUGUGUGUUUUUCUGUGUGCAAGGGGUGCAUUGUGUGUAUGUGAUGAAUGUCAAUCUCUCCUCCCGCUCCAAUUUCCUUCUCC